UUUUCCACCUUCCUCCCCCUUUCACUCGGCCCGUAGUCUACUUGGGCCGCAACUAAGACCAUUUCGAAGCCAAACUCACCUGCCAGGCAGCUAACCCAAAAUCCCCAAUUCCCAAAUUCCCUAACCUAACCCUAGCUUUGCAAGGAGACGGGCGGCGGGGGGCGCUGCGUGCGGCGUGCGGUGCGGCGGCGGGCGCGGUGUACGGCGGCGGCGAGCCGGCGACCGCGGGGCAGCCAGCCAGGCAGGGGCGGCUGCCGGCUGGACGCACUGGCGCAGCAUCUCCUAGGGUGGCGGCGGAGCGGGCGCACGGCCGUGGAGGCGUCGACGCAGGAAGAGGACCACUCGGCUUGGCGCCAGGGCGCGGGGCAGCGGCUGACUCGUGAGGCAGCGGCGCGGCGCGGCCUGCGGCGACAGCGGCAUUGCGGCGCGACGCGCGGCCUGCUGCGACAGCGGCAGUGCGGCCAUGGACGACAAGCUCUACCCGCCUCGAGGCCCAGCGCGAAGAAAUCAAGUCCCGAGCCCCGAGCGAGCAAGAUUAAUCCCAAGGUGCGGGUGCAGAUUAUCUUCCAAACAUGUUUGGGGCUCUACUGGGACUCCAUGGCACAUGUUAAGUGCUCUGGAUUGCUUGCUAUUUUCUGCUCCUCAAUCGUGCUCAUUGGCUCACACAUGGACGGCUUCAGUUAUGCACAACCGUCUUGUAGGUGGCUGUUUCAGCAGUUUGUCAGCAGCAGUAGCAUCGGCUAUUCGUGUACCUGUUGCAAGCUAUGGGACUUCUGCAGCACAAAGCACAUCAAAGGACCAGCAUGGCAGCAACAUCAACAGUGCGCUAAAAGUUUUGAAUCUUGUACCAAGAAAGGCUGACUAUGACAAAGUGGGAGGUCCAUGCCAUCACCGACUAAUCCAUGACUGCAUGAAUGACAUCUUGGGGGUUCAAUCAAAUCAUACUAUACACAAGGGAAAUGGUGUCACUUUUAACUCAUGCAGCAAUCCUGCACAGGCUAAAUUUGAUAGCUUUGUUUCAAAUAAUGGCUCGGCUUUGUGUUCCAGGACUAGAUUCAUAAAGGAGGACAUGUUUAUGCUGAUAAUGGAGCUGCACAGGAAAGGAGAAACCAGUACUGAUCAAUCUAUUUUGGCAGCUGCCAUGAGUUCCUGUGCUGAUAGGCAAAUGUUCACCCAAGGCACACAGCUUCAUGGUCUAUUGGUUAAAGUUGGCUGUGAUUCAACUGUCUUUAUUGGCAGUUCACUCAUCACCUUAUAUUCGAGGUGUAGCCAGUUGGAAAGUUCGUACUUGGUUUUCCAGACCAUGCCAACCAAAAACACAGUGUCAUGGACAGCAAUGAUUUCUGGUUUUGCGCUUCAUAAUCGGGUUGAGCCAUGUCUCCAUUUGUUUGCAUCAAUGAUGCUUUCAAGUUGCAAGCCAAAUGACAUCACAUUUGCCACUCUUUUUAGUGUGUGCACUAAACAUGCACUUCUAGCACUUGGUAGAAGUGUCCAUGCUUUACAAAUGAGAAUGGGUUUCCAUUCGUAUGUGCAUGUUUCCAAUGCCCUGCUGUCAAUGUAUGCAAAGUGUGGGUGUAUUGAUGAAGCCCAGUUCAUAUUUGGCUGCAUUGCCUGUAAGGACCUUGUUUCGUGGAAUGCCAUUAUCUUUGGAUGUUCGCAGUAUGGUCUUGCUAAGCAUUGCCUUGACUUGCUGAAAGAAAUGGAGAGGCAACACAUAGUACCUGAUGCUCUCUCCUUCCUUGGUGUCCUUUCUUCAUGCCGGCAUGCACGCCUUGUGGAGGAAGGCCGACACUGCUUCAAGACAAUGAUUGAACAUGGAAUAAAACCAGGGCUCGAUCACUACUCAUGUAUGGUCGACCUUCUUGGGCGCGCAGGAUUGCUUGAAGAAGCGUGGGAUUUGAUCCAAACAAUGUCUAUCCCUCCAAAUGCCGUCAUAUGGGGCUCUCUGCUGGGUUCCUGUAGGGUGCAUGGGAACAUUUCGAUCGGCAUCCAGGCUGCAGAGCACCGUCUUAAACUUGAGCCAGGUUGUGCUGCAACUCAUAUACAACUAGCAAAUCUGUAUGCCACAAUUGGUUGCUGGAGUGAUGUGGCCAGAGUGAGGAUGGCAAUGAAGGCGAGAGGCCUAAAGACGAACAUUGGGUGUAGCUGGAUAGAAGUCGGUGAUAAGGUUUAUUCCUUCACGGCAGAGAACAGAUCAAAGAGCCACCAAGUAAACAAUGUCCUGGCUGUUCUUGAUUGCUUGCAAGCUCACAUGGAAUGCAAGUAUGAUAUGCUUACAGAAAGCCUGGAAUAGUGGAGUGUGAUGGCUGUGAACAUGUCAAGACGACUAUAAACACUGUAUAUAUUAAGAGGAAUCCUACAGAAAAUGGCAAGCAUCACUCGCUAAAGAUUAAGAAGAUCCAUUGAUGCCGUUAUAACACCUAAACAUUAUGUGUAUGGACUGAUUGGUAUAAAGAUCUGUAUGGAUUGACAAGACUCACGACCAACAAGACAUGCAGGAAAAACACAGGAAUCGGAUGAGAAAUAUAGACUCAAAGGAAUUUUUCCAAGAGGUUGGACCUCUUGCUAAGUUUCCUCCAAAAUCCACUUACAAUGUGUCAUUCUAUAGGAAUUUCAUAGGAUUUGAAAAGUUUCAAUCCUUUGAAUCAAAGGGCCAAAUAGGAAAUUUUCCUAUAGGAUUUGAAUCCAAUGAAAUUCCUAUAUAAAUCCUUUGAUUCAAAGGGGCCCUCAUUGUGUAGCAGCCUGUUGUGGCGGAUGGUGAUGGCAGGCCUGCCUUCCAGCUUGAAGGAAAGAACUGAAGGAUUGAAGGUUAGGCGGCAUAAACUUGUGAUAGCACAUCUCAUGUGUCUGAUAAUAACAUAAUGCGUUGAUGUGCAAUCAGCGAUCUUGUACUUCUUAAUUACAAUGGUUAGAAAUGUAGCUCUUGACAAAGUAAUGAUUCAGGAGUUCUGGUAAUUGAGAAAACGAGACAGCAUCAUCACUUAA